rnacentral:rRNA from 1 species
UACGUAGGGUGCAAGCGUUGUCCGGAAUUAUUGGGCGUAAAGAGCUCGUAGGCGGUCUGUCGCAUCUGCUGUGAAAACUCAGGGCUUAACCCUGAGCUUGCAGUGGGUACGGGCAGACUAGAGUGCGGUAGGGGAGACUGGAAUUCCUGGUGUAGCGGUGGAAUGCGCAGAUAUCAGGAGGAACACCGAUGGCGAAGGCAGGUCUCUGGGCAACAACUGACGCUGAGGAGCGAAAGCGUGGGGAGCGAACAGG